UUUAAUCCAAAAAUACCACAUUUUGGUUUUCAUCUCUGAAGAAGAGUAGUGAAUAUUACUCCUUAUGGACAUUCAUCACUAAAUAAUGAUGAUGAAUCCUUGUUCAACUCAUCUAUUCAGUGCAGAGAAAGAAGCAUUUCUUAACAUAGAGAAGUGGAGUAAUGUAGAGGAGCAAGUCUUGAGACAGAAAUCAAAGGCUA
rnacentral:lncRNA from 1 species